ACAGUCGCAACUACGUGUAAAUAUCCUUUUACUUUACUGUUAUUUUAUUUCAUUUCACUGUUGUUUUACUAUUUGCAUUAUUGUCUUUAAUAAUUUUAUUACUGUUUGUUUUUUUCCUUUUUACUGUUUCCUUUUUGACUCGCGAGCCACGUGCUUUACGCGUUAUUUGACACUGACAUGUUACCUUAUUCACAGCUGUGAUCCACUGUCACCAAGAUUCUUAAAUGUGAUUUAUCUUUUGUCAAGCACUCACAAAUUGUUUUUGAGAAGUAUCACAAUGGCAGCUACUCCCAAUAGACAAUUCAAGAACAUUUGUGUGCUUUCUGGAUUUACCUAUGGCAAACAUAAAGAGUUCGUGGAGGCAGCCAUAGAUCUUGGUCGAAGCAUAGCAGCGAGAAAAUUACAUUUGGUGUAUGGAGGAGGUAACCGAGGGUUAUCAAAAAUGGUCUCAGAAGCAGCUUUUAUCAGAGGAAGUCAAGUGUUAGGCAUCAUCCCAAGAGUCCUAAAACCAUUGGGCAGUUCGUCUGACUCAUCAACAGGAGAAGAGUUAGUCGUCUCAAGUAUGCAAGAAAGAAUAACUGAAAUGCUUAAUCAUGCUGAUGCUUUUAUUUUCCUUCCAGGAGAUCUUGCAACACUAGAGGCACUUAUGACACUAGCAUCUUGGGCCCAUCUGCACAUCCACCAGAAACCCAUCGGUUUGUUGAAUGUCAAUAACUUUUAUGAUGGCUUUAUCGCAUUUCUUAACCAUGCAAUAAAAAACUAUUUCAUUCCUUCUAAUGUGAAAAAACUCUUUAUUUGUGCUCACACUGCUAAUGAGCUACUUGAUAUGUUACAAGCUUAUAAACCGGAGUCAGACCCCUGGACCUUUGUGUUGGAGCGACCAAAUAAUGAUGGUAACAGUAGCCGCAGUAAGAAGUACAAAUUAGAUUUAACUCUCCGCUUGUAAAUAUUUUCUUCUGUGUUGCACCACCCAGGUGAUGUCUUCUAAACUCUACUUCUUUCCUUUAAAACAUUGAGGACAAUGUUUCGUUCUGGUUGGGGGGAGAGAAUAGUCGACAAUUGUGGAAUCUUGGUUAAGUUUUUACUGAUUUUUUGUUGUAGAAACUAACUGUUGCUAACAUUUUGUGUUGAAGAUGGCUGAAUAUGGAGUGUAGUUACUCUAGAAACGCAUCUUCAUCGUUUAAAAAACAAAAAAAACAAAAAAAAAAUUGUUUUCUUCCUCUUUCUCCUUUAUAAAUAUAUAUUUUCAAAUUUUUGAGUCGAAGAUGGCUGAAUAUGGAGUGUAGUGCCUCUAGAAACGCAUCUUCUUAGUUUAAAAAAAAAAAAUUCUUUUUCUAAUUAAUUUUUCUACAUCAUUUUCACAUUUCUGCAUACAUAUUUUCCUUUCAUGUUUAGAAUAGGUUGGGGGGUAGAAUGUUGUUUAAAAAAAAAAAAUUGUGUUAUUUGUUUUAACAUUGGAUGACAUGAUUAAUUUCAAAUUUUAGUAUUUGUAUUAUCUUUGGUCUUAAGUGAUGUUACGCUAUGUUUGCUACUUUACAUGUUGAUGUCGGAGACAAAUAUGAGUUGCUUGAAGGAAUGAACAUGUCAUAAAUAAGUUCCAAGUGAGUAGUUGAGCCUAUCAUUUUCUUGGAGAGUAACCCUUUUGCCCAUUCUCUAUACAGCUUAGCAGUUUAUUAUUUUAUACACGAUCUCUAGAUUUCUUUUAAGUUAACCCUUUAAAAAAAAAUAUGGUAAAAUUAAAAAAAAAAAGAAAAAAGAAAAAAAUGUGUGUUGCUACAUUGGGGAGGCCCAUCUAACUAGUAGAUAUGGAUAAUUAUUUAGAGCCCUAAAAGACGAUGAAAUGUCAUCUUUGAUCCGUUUGAGCCUUUCUAGCCAUCCAUUUUAUUAAAUAUCCAUAGUUAACCCUUUUGAGCCUUUAAAAAAAAAAAAAAAAAAAAAAGAACAAAAACCUUUUCUUUGUCAACUUAUCAUCUUGACCCACUCCGAUUUGGAGUAUUACCCAAUGUCUUUUAAGUUCCAUCACCUAUUUAUGUUUGAGAAAAUGUAAAUAAUUAUGUUGUUCAGUGAAGUUAUGCCAAAUAAAAGCAAAAAGAAAAAAAAAAACAAAAACAAAGUUGUUGUUUCAAAAGAAUAAAAAUAACAAUAAUAGGUGAAAUCCACCUUGCAAGUUCCAAAAAAAAAAAAAAAAAAAAUUUCUGCAUUUUUCUUCAAACAUACACUUUGUUUUCUUAUUUCCUUUCUUGUUAGCCAUAUCCCUAGCCUACGUUACGUCCUAAUAAAAGUCCUUCUUGAUUUUAGGGAACUAUAGUUUGAAGUAGAAGCUAGUUAUAUGGCUAAAAAAGAUGUAGUGAUGCAUUAAUAAUAAAAAAAAAAAAGAUAAAUAAAGUGGGUUGACUAACAUUUUAUUUGACUUGAGAUCGUAUUAUUUCUAAGCUGAGGCAAAUUUAUUUCAUCUUGGUGAGAGCAUGUGAUAUCAUUUCUUUAUUAUUUCUCUCUCAAUUACCAUUCAUUGGAGUGACUAUGUUUAUUGGGUUUUAAUUUCUUUGUGAGAGUGUCACUACUUCCAGUGAGAUUUUGGGGUUUGACAUGUCAUUCUUGAAAGUAGCUAUAACAAAGUCUACUGGCUAAUUCAUGUGGAUGGUUGAUGUGGGUGUGAUGUUGCUUUAGACUGGAGAUAAUGCUUAUACUUUUAUUUGAUUGCUAUCAUUAAUCUGAUUGAAUAAACACGAGUGUUUCUAAAAAAAAAAAAAAUCAUUUUGAAUUUGAAUUUUGUUUUCGCUUUAUUUGCUAGGGACUAGCAAUAAGCUGGUUGGGGGUGUGUUGAGUGUUAGAAAAUACAUAUUUUAAAGGAGAAACCGUCAUUUUACAUUUCAAGUCUUACUAACACCCUUACUUUUAUGUAUUUAACCUUCUUGUGAUGUAAUUACGUGUGUGUUAUUUUAAUUAAGUAUUUUAUGUAUUUUAGGGGGCAUUAUAGUCAUUUCACAAUAAAGGAGAGAUCAGACGGCAAACGGACAUCACUUUUGAACUCAGGACGGUCGAAAACCUUAAGAGGAGCAUAAAAAGGAAAAAUGGCACUAUUCACAUGUACGGUACUAUUCACGUAUACGGUACUGUCUACGUUACUGUUCACGACACUGUUCACAUAGACGGAUCGAUGACGUGGCAUUGACCGAUGAUGUGGCAUUGACUGAUGAGGUGUCACGAUCCUGUUGGACUAAAAUUCUUAUGUACUUGUUGAUGGUGACGUGGCAGCAUAUCAUGGACGAAAAAUCUCGCGUACGGUACAUGCAUUCACACAGGAUUAUUUUAAACCAAACCGCGUUACUGUUCAUCCGGUGUCAAACCGUGUUACUGUUCAUCCGCGUGGUCAAACCGUGGACUGUUGACUGAUGACGUGGCCAAUCCUGAGCGUCCAAACUGUUUUUACUCCGAUGGCCAUGAUUUACUCCAUGUAUCUAUAAAAAGGGGGUCUCCCCCCUAAUUUGAUAUCUCUGAAUCCAUCUUUGGGAUCCAUUUUCUGUAAUUCCUUCUCCAUCUUGUAUUUUCUUUGUAUUUUAAUAAAUUCCCUUUUUGCCCCUAGUUCAAUUAUGAGUGGCUAAUUUUCUUUCAAGCUUGGGUUGAAGGUGAAGUCUCAACAUGUGUCAUGGGCUUUAUUUGGUAAAUUUAUUUUCUUUUCCCCUCUAGUUUUUGUGGAUGAUUUGACUUAUCGUCGACAAAUAAUACUGAUCUUGUCUAGAUACCCUUGGUUACACCGGCUCUCUAGUAUAAGGUUAUUAUUAUUUGGCACGAUAAGCCCUUAGCACCAUAUUGAUUAGAGCGUGGUUCAUGAUGUGUGGAUUCCCCAUCAUGAUUUAAUUGGCAUUAAUACGGAUUAUUUAGCCCAUAAUGCAUGUUGAUACGGAUCCGAAUACCCAAGUACGUCAUUUCAAAUAGAAUUAUCUUCAAUUUAUUCUCGCCAUUGCCAUUCCAAUUUUUUAGAAUUUAUUCUCGCCAUUUUAAUUUAAGUUUUAGCAUAUUCCAAAUCAUUUCCACCAUAAUCCAACCACCCAUUUUGCAAAAUUAAUUCUACACAUAAUUAAAAUCCACCUCCUCGUGGGAUCGACACUCGUCACCAUUGAUCUAUACUACAAUAGAUUCGUGCGCUUGCGAGUACAUUAAAAUUUACACAACACUUGACUUCAUGAGAUUUCUUAAACUCAACUUAUUAUACUUGAGCUUUUGAUCAUUAUAGAUAUGCCUAUUUUAUUAAUUCAAAUUAAUUGUACUCAUUUUCUUUCCAAAAUAAAUUCUUUGAUAUCUCAUCACUUCAACCAAAAUUUCAUUUUUAACAAUUGCAUAUGCAAUUUGUACAGCUCAAAUUUUUAUUUUUUAAAUGUUUAAGAUAAAACAAUUAUUUAUUUAUUAAUUUAUUAUAUGAUUAUCGCAGGAAUAGUGAAAAUUAAUUUUUAUAUUGAAAUUUUAAGAUUUGCAAAUUAGCAUUUACUUUGAAUCCAAUUCAACUAAGUCACCAUUUAUUUAUCUUUAAUUAAUGCUUUAAGCACAGUAAAUGCAUUUCAAAUUAAACAAUAUUUUGUAUAAAAAAACACAUUAGGAAAUUAAUGCAAUCAAGAAAAAGAAAAUAUAUUAAAACAUUAAUUUUGCUUCCUCAAUUAAGUAUUAAAAGGAAAAUUUUCUCUUACAGAUAAACUCAACCUUAUAAUUUAACAAUAAUGUUGACUACAAUUUUAAAACUAUUUAUUUAUUGCUCCAAAUUGCAAUAGUUUUUUAUGAGUCAUAAAAAUUAAAUUUAUUUAACAUUAUACUUAUAUAGUUGGAUACGUAAUUUAUACCUUAAUUGAUGUUGCCGUAUUUUCAAUUAUUAUAUUUUAGUGAUAGUUUAUUUCAUUGUAUACUAAUAGUGUUAUAAAUUUGUAAUAAUUGAUUAUACAUCAUAUUUUUCAUUGAUUACUACUCGAAUUAUAUAAUAUCUAUUUUAUAAGUGAGUAUUACUCAAAUUAAUAUAUUAUACUUUAAAAUUUUAAUUAUUAUACUUAAAUCAUAUAAUCACAUAUGCAAUUAAACGAAAAUAAUGAAAAGGUCACUUCCCAAGGUUUGGGAAAAUGAUCAUGUAGAUCCCUGAGUUUUCACUAAGAGACACUAAAACCCCUUUUAACUAUAAUGCUUUUUGACUUUAUUAAUUCAAAAAAUUGACUCUAAAGUUUUAUAAUAAGUAGAAAUAUAAUAUUAAAAUAAAUGUAAUAUAUAUAUUUUAAAAUAAUUAAUAUAUAAAAUAUUUUAGUACUUUACAAUCUUAUAUUAUAUUAAACUAAAUUUUUUUAAUAAAUAGGAACAUAAUAUUAAAAAAUAUUUAAAAAUUUAAAUUAUUUUCAAUAUUGUAUACAAAAUACUAUUAAUACAUGAGAUAUAUUUUAUUAAUUAUAAAAUCUAUUUAACCUAAAGAUUUAUUUAAAUUUUUUCUAACAAAUACAAAUAUAUAAUUAAAAUAAAUAUCAUAAUUUACAUUUUAAAAUUAUUUUAUAUAUUAAAAAUAUUUUAAUAUUAUAAAUUUAUUAGACAAAUUAAACUAUUUAAAUUAUAUUUGUACUUAUUAAAAAUCUAAAAGUCAAUUUUUUGAAUCAAUAAAUCCAAAUUGUAUUAUAGUCAAAGGGUCUUAGGGUCCCUCGGUGAAAACAUGGGGUUUAUAUGAUCAUUUUUUCAAAUCUCGGGGGUGUAGGUAUCUUCUUCCCUAAAUUAUUUAAUUCUCAGUGUUGCACUAAAAUUAUAGUUUUCUAGUUACAUUGUUAAUUUAGUUAAGGGUACAAUACAAUGUCAAUAACAAUUAUUGUAAUAAUACCUAAAAAAUUAUGCUUGAUAUUUUUAAAAAUUUAAUUUUUAACAAAUUUUACCUUGUUGACUUGAUUGAGUGGUUUUCAAGCGGGGUUAAAAAAAAAAAUUAAUACACACUUUAGAAAAAUACAUUCAAUUGGACUAUAUAUAUACACAUUAUUAAAACUUUUAUUAUUAUAGAAAAUAAAAUCAUAUAGACUAUACAAGACAUUUCAUUAAAAAUAUAUAAUAUCGUAAAAAAUAUCAUAAGCUGAAUUUAGUUUAAUCAUAAUAAUUACUAUAAUGACAGUUAUUAACAAUAUAAAAAAAAUAAAGAUUAUCCUUUGUUGUUUAGAAAAACGAAAAAUCCUCUCAUGUUUUAAAAUAAGUUCAAAUUCUCCUGCAACUCUAACUGUGUUAGCUUUAUAUAUCAUUGUACUAUUUGACACAUAGUUUUGAUGUUAGCCAUAAAAUUUAAAUAUUUUUAGAGUAUAAAUAAAGUGAAAUGACUUAUAUAACCCUAAUGAUUAAAUAAAUUUAAUAAUAAAUUAUCGAGAAAAAUUACUUCACACACACACACACACAUAUUGUGGAUAUAUAUACCAAAUGUUAUUCCAAUUAAAUGGUAAUUUACAACUAUUAGGGAUAUUUUCCCCACUUGUAAUUUUUCUCUAUAAUUUACAAUUUAUUAUAAAAUAAAAUUUGAUCAUUAAGGAUAUAUAAGUUAUUUUACUUAAUUUGUAUUUUCAAAAUAUUUAAAUUUUAUAGCUAACAGUAAGAUUAAGGGUAGAAUAGUAAAAUUAUAUAUAAAGCUAAUGUUAUUAUAACUUUUGGGGGGGGGGGGGCAGUAGGAGGUAAUUCUCAUUUUCUCUUAACUAUCAUUAAUGAUAGUACUAGUAAUAACUCAAGAUCAAAUAUGUUACAUGCGAUAAUUUAAUAAUGUAGCAAAAUAAAAAAAUUAAACAAAGUAUGCAAUAAUUUAAUUAAUUUGUGAUAAAUUUGUAUGAAGUAAUUUGUGUAAGAGAAACUUUGUGAGUAUAAUCCAAAUAUCAAAUAUAUGGUACAUUAUAUAUGCCUUGUAUACAGUACAAAUUUAUACCAUUAAUAUUAGUCACUAUUUCAACUAAUAUUGAGAAUACCAAUAUUUGAUGAUUAAUAAGGAUAUUUGGUACUAUGAANNNNNNNNNNNNNNNNNNNNNNNNNNNNNNNNNNNNNNNNNNNNNNNNNNNNNNNNNNNNNNNNNNNNNNNNNNNNNNNNNNNNNNNNNNNNNNNNNNNNNNNNNNNNNNNNNNNNNNNNNNNNNNNNNNNNNNNNNNNNNNNNNNNNNNNNNNNNNNNNNNNNNNNNNNNNNNNNNNNNNNNNNNNNNNNNNNNNNNNNNNNNNNNNNNNNNNNNNNNNNNNNNNNNNNNNNNNNNNNNNNNNNNNNNNNNNNNNNNNNNNNNNNNNNNNNNNNNNNNNNNNNNNNNNNNNNNNNNNNNNNNNNNNNNNNNNNNNNNNNNNNNNNNNNNNNNNNNNNNNNNNNNNNNNNNNNNNNNNNNNNNNNNNNNNNNNNNNNNNNNNNNNNNNNNNNNNNNNNNNNNNNNNNNNNNNNNNNNNNNNNNNNNNNNNNNNNNNNNNNNNNNNNNNNNNNNNNNNNNNNNNNNNNNNNNNNNNNNNNNNNNNNNNNNNNNNNNNNNNNNNNNNNNNNNNNNNNNNNNNNNNNNNNNNNNNNNNNNNNNNNNNNNNNNNNNNNNNNNNNNNNNNNNNNNNNNNNNNNNNNNNNNNNNNNNNNNNNNNNNNNNNNNNNNNNNNNNNNNNNNNNNNNNNNNNNNNNNNNNNNNNNNNNNNNNNNNNNNNNNNNNNNNNNNNNNNNNNNNNNNNNNNNNNNNNNNNNNNNNNNNNNNNNNNNNNNNNNNNNNNNNNNNNNNNNNNNNNNNNNNNNNNNNNNNNNNNNNNNNNNNNNNNNNNNNNNNNNNNNNNNNNNNNNNNNNNNNNNNNNNNNNNNNNNNNNNNNNNNNNNNNNNNNNNNNNNNNNNNNNNNNNNNNNNNNNNNNNNNNNNNNNNNNNNNNNNNNNNNNNNNNNNNNNNNNNNNNNNNNNNNNNNNNNNNNNNNNNNNNNNNNNNNNNNNNNNNNNNNNNNNNNNNNNNNNNNNNNNNNNNNNNNNNNNNNNNNNNNNNNNNNNNNNNNNNNNNNNNNNNNNNNNNNNNNNNNNNNNNNNNNNNNNNNNNNNNNNNNNNNNNNNNNNNNNNNNNNNNNNNNNNNNNNNNNNNNNNNNNNNNNNNNNNNNNNNNNNNNNNNNNNNNNNNNNNNNNNNNNNNNNNNNNNNNNNNNNNNNNNNNNNNNNNNNNNNNNNNNNNNNNNNNNNNNNNNNNNNNNNNNNNNNNNNNNNNNNNNNNNNNNNNNNNNNNNNNNNNNNNNNNNNNNNNNNNNNNNNNNNNNNNNNNNNNNNNNNNNNNNNNNNNNNNNNNNNNNNNNNNNNNNNNNNNNNNNNNNNNNNNNNNNNNNNNNNNNNNNNNNNNNNNNNNNNNNNNNNNNNNNNNNNNNNNNNNNNNNNNNNNNNNNNNNNNNNNNNNNNNNNNNNNNNNNNNNNNNNNNNNNNNNNNNNNNNNNNNNNNNNNNNNNNNNNNNNNNNNNNNNNNNNNNNNNNNNNNNNNNNNNNNNNNNNNNNNNNNNNNNNNNNNNNNNNNNNNNNNNNNNNNNNNNNNNNNNNNNNNNNNNNNNNNNNNNNNNNNNNNNNNNNNNNNNNNNNNNNNNNNNNNNNNNNNNNNNNNNNNNNNNNNNNNNNNNNNNNNNNNNNNNNNNNNNNNNNNNNNNNNNNNNNNNNNNNNNNNNNNNNNNNNNNNCUCACAAGUUUUUCCUCUGCUCCUUACACCUUCAAAUUCCCAUCUUUGCAAGCGUUGUGGGUGAUUGGUUGUCCCAAAUUGAAGAUUUUCACUACAGGAGAAUCAAGCACGCCUCCUAGAGUAAAUGUCUGGUAUGGAGAGACAGCGGGUUUUCAACGGCGCUGGGCUAAUAAUGAUCUUAACAGGACCAUACAACAAUUACAUGCUGAGAAGGUACGGAUAUACAUGUUACUCUCUAUCUCCCAUGGAAAAAUUUUACAAAAUUUGCUUUUUCUUUUUAAAUAAAAUAUCGAUAAGAUAUUUGUUAUAAAGUUAGUUUAAAUUAAUGAAUAAGAAUUUUUUUUUCAGCUGUUGGCGGGGUCGUCGUCAUACUCUGUGGAUUACGACUAAUUUCAUAGGCUUCUUAUGACUUGGAGUUACGAAUUUGAAGAAGAAAGUCCCAGCUGGUAAUUAAUUCUUAUUUUAUUUAUUUGAUCUCGUGGGUUGUUUCACAAUUUCAUCUCAAUUGUUUAGAAUGGGUCACUUGGUUUACUGUCAAUAUGGAAUGCACUUUUCAUGAUUCGUUCAGGCUUUUAUGGGAAGAUUUGCGUCAUUGAUUGUCUUUUGGUCUAAUUUAAUUUAAUUUGAGUAUUUUGUUUGAGAAUUCGCUUGUUCUCUAAAAUUUUAUAAUUCCUUGCAAGCAUUUUAUGAUGAAAUUUCAUUAAAAGGGGCAACACUUGCAUGUUGAAUGUCUUCAGAUAUUAUAAUUCCUUGAAAUCAUGCGAACUUUUUUCUUUCUUCUUGCCAAUCAUUUAUUGUCAUCAUUGCUGUUCCGUUAUAUUUGUUUCUGCUCUGUUUGUUCUUUGGAAACUUGGAAGGCAACGAAAGUACUUAAGAAAAUGCUCUUGCCUAUGAACACAUAAUUAAGAAGCUGAAUAUCAUUCAGCGGGUAAAUAUAUAUAUAUAUAUAUAUAAUUAGCCCAUUAUGCCUACAACAAAUCCUUACACCAUCAAAGGUUAGCUUAUGAACAACUAUAUUGUGGAAAUAUUGUUUGAAAGCAUUGGAUAGAAUUUUCAAAAUAUCAAGUUUUCACAAACCAAAAGGGAACUGAUUUGGUCUAGUUUGUGAAAAGUAUAUAAGCACAAUAUUUUGUCUGUUAUUGUAAUAUCCCAAAUCUCCUAAGGGUAUUUAAGUCUUUUUAAUUUUUAGUGAUCCUUUUUACCCUAGUAUAAAUAGAACAAGAUGUCUUUUCAUUAUAAGAGAGAGAGAAAAAGAGAGAUCGGUUGAAAAAGAGAGAUGGAGAGACAAGAGAGAAAAGAAAAGAAAAAAAGAGAAGAAGAAAGUCUUCUUCUUCUUCUUAGUUUUUGCCAUAGACAACACAUGGGAUCAAGUUGUUAUUGUUGGGAGAAGUUUUGGAGGUACGUUUUAAUUAUUGGUUUCUAUUAAAUUGUUGUGGAGAAGCAUGAUUGUAAUAGAAGUUAGAAAUCAAAGAUUUUACAUAAAUAUGCUGACAGCGAAUUAUUACAGAAAUCAUAGUAAUUUGUACAAAUUGAUUUUGAUUCUGAUUUUUGGGUAUGUUAAACUAGACAUCGUCUAGAAUGUUUGAAACUUGUUUCAAGUUAAUCGGAUAAGAUUUCAAUUAAUUAUGAUUUUUCAAAUUCAAGUCUGAAAACCUGGAAUUUAUGAUUUCAGUGAAUAACGUGAAUUACGAAAUUAUUUUUACCAUAGUUAGACUUCUUCAAAAUUAUGAAAUUUGGACCAAUGCUUUUUAUAUAUGUCUAGUAUGAUUCUGGAAAUUUUCAUGAUUUUAUGAUAAGCAAUAAAUUGUUUUGUAUUUGUAAAAGCAAGUGUGUUCAAAACAGAAAAUGUUUGACAGUAUUGAUGAUGUCUGAAACGUGAAUUAUUUUCAAUAGUUUUUGAAGGAAUUAUGUUACGAAUUAUGCUAAUCUUCUCUGUAUCGUUCCAAUUUUAUCGGAUGGGAAUCGGUCUGAUACCAUUUGAAACACCCCAGUCUGAAAUCCAAGGGCAAAUAUGUCUACAACUCACAUAUAAUUUAAAUAACUCUUUACAACUGAUAAAGAGUAUUUGUAAAGAUUUAUGUUUUGAGGGCCGAUUAUUGAGGACAUUUGAGGUUGAGCUUAGGAGUUGUUUAAAUUGAGAUAUUUGAGGACAUUACAGUUUGUGAUUGAGAUUUGAUUAUAUCUUAUGAGGCGUUAUUGAUGAUUUUAGGUUAAUGGUAUCAGUACGCAUUUGUUACAUGAGGAUGCCAAGAGGUAAGUAAACUAGACUUUAAAACGAAUCACACUAAACAAUAUAUAUGUUUGACUUGUGUGAAAAGCAUAUUUUGAUAUAUAUACGGAUAUGGAUUUAGAUGUCUUUGCCCAUGUGUUUAUGUGAUGUGUUGGCAUGUGUUGAGCGUGAUUAUGUACAUGGGCAUAUGUAUGUGUGAUGGUUCAUUGGCAUGAGCACGAAAAUGCAUUGAGUUUUCUACGAAUGAGAAAGUGGAUUUUAGCAAACAGAAUUUAUGUUUUAUGAGAUUUUGCAUUGGGGGCCACCUCUUGAAGUUGUGUGGGGGUCACCUCUUGGGACUAUGCGGGGGCCACCUCUUGAGGGCCAGGGCGCCGCAAAGUGCCACGUACAGCACAAAGUGCCACAUUGUAGGAUACGUAUUUCAUCGAAAGAAAAUAAGAAAGUUUGAAAGCGACAGAAAGAGAUUUUUAUGAAUUUAUUUUACAGUAUUUCCAAAAGAUCAUGACAUAUCAACCAUUGCAUUAUGUAUAAGUCUGUAUGUAUUUUCCGUAUAAGAAAAACUAGUUUGCUUACUGGGUUUUGUACUCAUUAUAGUUUAUUGUGAUUCAAUUUUCAGAAGUCAGGAUUGAUUCGUGAUGAGUGAGAAGAUGUUUUGAAUUGAGGAUAGUAGAUGGUUUGGUUAAGUUUUUAAGUUAUUCCGCUGGCUUUUGUAUUUGAGGCUCGAAUUUUAUCAGUUGUAAAGAGUUAUUUAAAUCAUAUGUGAGUUGUGGACAUAUUUGCCCUUGGAUUUCGGACUGGGGUGUUUCAAAUGGUAUCAGAGCAAUUCCCAUCCAAUAAAAUUGGAACGAUACAGAGAAGAUUAGCAUAAUUCAUAACAUAAUUCCUUCAAAAACUAUUGAAAAUAAUUCACGUUUCAGACAUCAUCAAUACUGUCAAACAGUUUUCUGUUUUGAACACACUUGCUUUACAAAUACAAAACAAUUUAUUGCUUUAUCAUAAAAUCAUGAAAUUUCCAGAAUCAUACUAGACAUAUAUAAAAGCAUUGGUCCAAAUUUCAUAAUUUUUGAAGAAGUCUAACUAUGGUAAAAAUAAUUUCGUAAUUCACGUUAUUCACUGAAAUCAUAAAUUUCCAGGUUUUCAGACUUGAAUUUGAAAAUCAUAAUUAAUUGAAAUCUUAUCCGAUUAACUUGAAACAAGUUUCAAAACAUUCUAGACGAUGUCUAGUUUAACAUACCCAAAAAUCAGAAUCAAAAUCAAUUUGUACAAAUUACUAUGAUUUCUGUAAUAAUUCGCUGUCAGCAUAUUUAUGUAAAAUCUUUGAUUUCUACUUCUAUUACAAUCAUGCUUCUCCACAACAAUUUAAUAGAAACCAAUAAUUAAAACGUACCUCCAAAACUUCUCCCAACAAUAACAACUUGAUCCCAUGUGUUGUCUAUGGCAAAAACUAAGAAGAAGAAGAAGACUUUCUUCUUCUCUUUUUUUCUUUUCUUUUCUCUCUUGUCUCUCCAUCUCUCUUUUUCAACCGAUCUCUCUUUUUCUCUCUCUCUUAUAAUGAAAAAGACAUCUUGUUCUAUUUAUACUAGGGUAAAAAGGAUCACUAAAAAUUAAAAAGACUUAAAUACCCUUAGGAGAUUUGGGAUAUUACAGUUAUUCUUGUUAAAAUUCUCAGCACUAUGUUUGCAGAAUGUUUGGAUAUUGAUGGAGAUUCAAGUCACUCUUCUUCUGUGCAACAUUUGAAAUGAAGCCUUUUUUUUCCCCCUUUAUUCAAAUUUUAUGUUGUGAGGGGUUCCGUUUCCAUCUUCAUGUGAUUUACUUCAUCGUGUCGCUACAUAUAUGAUAGUGUGUGUCAUUUCCUGUCUGUUUCCUUUGUUUGACCAUCGGAAGUUCAAAGACAGUUUAUUCUAAAUGUGUGUAAAUUCAUUUUCUGUAUAAGCUCUUUGUAUGCAUUUUGACAUUUUAUUCUCAAUAUGUAUGACUCAAUGAGAGGUCUAUUGUUAUAUAUACGUCACGAAUUUCUUGUGUAUUUUUAGAUUUGAUGAUGUAUUAUUGCCUCAUUGCAAGGUCUUAUAAUCACUCUGAUUCUUAUUUCUUGUAUAUAUAUGUAUAUAUGCGCAAGAAAUUUGAUAAAUGAUCUCGUCAUUUUCUCAGCUAAACAUCUAGUACUUUAUAUGUUGGAAGGGUACUAAGCAGCAGGCCAAGAUUUAUCAACUCAAAGAUCGUCAUCUCACUUUUUGAAAGUUGACUAAAAAUUAUUCCUAAAAGUAGCAAAAGUUGGUGGAUUAUUGUGGUUUUCCUACUUUAUCGUUUUUGGUUGAAUAAAUUAAUAUAAAGCUGUCGAUUCUGCAUUAAAGCUUAUGAAUUGUGAAGAUAUGAAUACCAAAUCUUUCCAACUCCAACUCUUGAGUAAUUAUUAGGUUCCCACCCAUGCAAACAUAUUUUCUUUCGAGAAAAAGGGAUGCCUGAUUCAGGGUAUCCGUUGCCUCGGUUUAUUUGAUUUUGUUUGGUUCAAUUGUGGUUCUGUUAUUUAGUUUUUCCUCUGAUGGUUCUGUUUCUCUGUAUAUUUCACUGGGUUUGCUUUGCUUCACAUCUUUCUUUCAAAACUAAGAAGGCAAGGAAAGAGAGUACUUAAUUAGAAAAUGCAAGAAGCAUAUAUGAAACCAUGAAUAUGCUCAUGCUCUUGCCUGUGAACACAUAAAGAACAACUGAAUAUCCUUCGUCGGAUAACAAAAAACAAAAUCUAAUCAUCCAUUAUCCGUACAAGAAAUGAUACCAUUACUUUUAGCAAAUUGAAGGUGUUGUAUCUUUUUUAUUUAAAAAGUCUCUUAAGAUUUUUACUUUUCCGGUUAUUACACCUCCAAAUUUCCACAGCUAUAAUGUCAAUUCGUAAUUAUUUGUCCCAAGAUGAAGAUUUUCACUGGAGGAGAAUUAAUAAUUACGCUAUUUCGGCCCAGAGGACCAUGAAGCCCCUUGGGUUGUUGGCAUUAACACCAGUGCGUUUACCAACCCAAACCUUCUGUUUGGUCAACAGCGUCUAAAUUGAACCUAUAGUGAAUGGAGGAAAAAGAAAAAAAGGAUUUAUCAGAAACCUGCCGGUUCGGUGUAUUCUCAGUUUGAUAGAUUGUAUUUGUAUAUUUUCAAAUACCUCCCCUGGUGCUAGCAUACCUUUUCUUAAUACCCCUAAUUUAGAAAAAAAAAUAAUAAUUUGUAUACUGAAAAUAAAAUAUUGUUGGUUAGUACCAGCUUAUUUGUCUUAAAAAUAAUAAUUUGUACACUAAAAAUAAAAAAUUGUUGGUUAGUACCAGCAUGUUUGUUUUGGUGCCAACGGAUGUGAAUACAAUGAAAAUAUCAAAUCACGCCUGCUACUUUCCAAAAUGACUUUGAUGAAUGAAACAAACAAAAGAUUUAAGUCAAAUAUCAGAGAAUCAGAAGGAAGCUAUUUUGCACUGGCCUAAUUGCUAUGCUUUCUGCAUCAAAUUUCGUUCAAUCUUGGUGAAGAUCUUGGUGUCCUUCUUUUAUUCAAUAUAAGAAGAGUGAAAAAAAAAAUUGUUUGUUUUUUACACAAGUGAUAGAAAUACUUUUCAACUUUAGACAGUGUAACACUAUACACAUCAAAGAAAUAAGAUAAUGAACCAUUUCCCAUACAUAAAGCAAACAAAAUUAGUAUUUAGUACAGGAGAUGCAACAAAAUUUUAAAUUUUAUUCCUCAAGGGCUACAAGUGAUACAAAUGAGUACACAAAUCAACCAUCUCUAGCUUAACAAAAAGAUGAUGCGAAUGCAUAAACAUGCAAAAAGUCUACGAAUCUUAUACAUGGUAACUAUGACUAAGUAAAAUAACAAUUCUGAUUGAUAAUACCACCAGCAACAGGACCUUCAUACCUUCUCUUUAUUAAUCACUAGUUGGUAUGCUGUAGCUCAGCCAAGUGUCAAAUGAAUGGCAAUCAAACUCUCGAGCCUCUGUAUACCCUCCAUAAGUUGUCUCCAACUACAUCAAGGACUGCAAUUAUUUUAAGCAAUAGAAAAAUAAUCGUGAUACAAUGAGUAACAUAUAGAGCAUGCACCUGCUUUAUACAUAUCCAAGAGUCUGAAGAUAGGUACAUGGAGCUUGAUUUGCAGAAUGAUCUAUCAAGAAAGCCUCAAUGCAAAAUCUUCAUCCCUAUUCCAAACAAAACCGGGCAUAUCGAUCCUCCGCCCAGCGACAAUCCCAUAUAUGUAAAGCUUCUCAACAGGGAGCUCCGGCCUUGAAUCUGGGGGUCCCUUCUCUUCAAUAACUUGAACAUUCAGCGUGAUUAUCCAAAGACACUUCAAUUUUCAUUUAUAACUCAAACAAGUAAGACAGGGCUUAUCUAAAGACACUGCAAUUUUGGACAUUGGCUAACAAGCUUGAUUAGGUCAGGACUUUGUAUAGUGGCAUAGCUCAGAUUCAAGGUUGUUAGGCUAGAGCAAACGGAAUUGACAGAUCACACUAUUUGAGACCAUAAUCAGGUUGCAUCUACGACUAAUUUUCCAAAAUUAUACCAAUCUCUAUUCCAGUACAUUGCUAAUCAAUGUUCCUGAUUAAUACGAGCAGCAAUGACUAUAUAAACAAUUAUCUCCAGCGAACCAGGUAUGUCAGAAGCCAAAUCUAUAGUAGAGAAGGUUUGGUAGAUCUCUUAAAAAAUAAUCUCAUCUUUAAUUUAAUAAAAACUAGCAUGAAUCCCUGUUCAAUAAUCAGAAUCAGUACCUUAAACAAAUAAAAAAAUUUCAGAGGCAUUUUCAAUGAGUCACAUGGCAGCAUAACAAAUAACAAGUCAUUUUCAAUCAAUCACAAGCGAACAUGCGUUUGCAACAAUCAUUCACCUACAACUAACAUUAAUCGAUGGAAAAAAAUUUAAGCAACAGAAAUACUCAAAAAAUUUUCGAGACCCAUUAUUCUUUUUUUUAAUCAAAUCUCCUUACAAAACUGACACGCACGGAAAUAAUCUUAUUCAUACCUCAUUCGCGGCUCGAAAACACUGGGAUUGUUUGUGGGUCGACGGCGAAAGUCACUGGUCGGUAUUCUUCCACAUCGCCGGCGUGAAUCAGUCAUCUCAGGUAUUUCUGUCUUCGGAUUCAGUGUCAUGGUCUCCCGUUCGUAAGCAAGUUUUUUAAUCAAAGCAUUAGAGAGAAGAUGAAAGGGAUAUUGCGUUUCAUGGCUUCAGUUCGAAUGGAGGAAAGAGAUGACCAUUUUUCCUUUUCUUUUUUUGUGGGCAUUACACAUUACAAAGUUGAGACCAAUUUCAGAACACAACUUAAAAAUUAGGUAAUGUUUAGGGAUUUCCCCUGAGAUUUUGUGUAUUGACAGUCUCAUGAAAAAUAUUCACGUAAUUACAGGGAGCUGCUUGACAUAACUGACGUUAGUAUGCCAUUUCAUAUAUGUUAGUAUAUGAGGGUAAAUUAGUAGUUUCAUAAUAAAAAUCAAAGAAAAAUAAAAAAAAUUCCAAAGUUGUGUCGAUGACCCAAAUUUAGGCACUGACAAUCAAUUUAUUACCCACAAUGCAAAUUAUCUUCAAUUUAUCUAAGAUGAAUGAAAACUCCAUUUUCUCUCUCAUGAAAUGAAACUCUCAGCCAUUUUCAAGCUUGAAAAGCUCUGAAGAAACUUUUGUAACUAUAAAAUCCCUGCUGCCUUCAAGUAAUUUUAAGCUGAGUAUGAACAUGACAAGCUGCAAUGGUGGCAAAAGGGUGUCGCCAAGCGAAUUUCGUCGGCGGCUACUGUUUAAGACUACUAGAAUUGGAACCUAAAAACGGUUAGUUUCCCAAAAAAAAAACUUGCAUGUUGGACUCAAUGUUUUUUUUUUCUUUUUAUUGUUGUGAUGAUGAAGAAUGAUAAAAAUGUGUUGAAGAAGAUGCUGAAUGAGUUAUAUUGAACAAAAAAGAAAUUGGGUUUUUUUUUUCUAUUUUAGUUGAUUUCAAACUUAAAUGAAUUGAAAUCUUUGAUUUAUUAACUUGUUAUUUUAGAUUCAAAAGGUUGGUUUGGUGGUGUUGUGGUCUGGGGAUGAUAAUUGAUUUUUGUUUGUCUUGAAAUUGACAUGGCAGGUACCAUUACCCAUUGAUCCAGGCUUUUACUGUGGCAGUAGCAUUCGUUCUUAUGCUCUGGUCUGCCUUCUUCAUAUGGCUUGUCUCCUGAAAAAAGAAGACUCAUUUCUUUUCUUCCUUGGCUUCAAUUGAAACGAUUAAGGAAUAUUUUUCCAAUUCCAACAUCUGAAUAUUAUAAAUUCCUAGCUUUACACUUACUUUCAUAAUGAAUGAACCAUUGUUCAUUUACUAUCAUUGAAUUUGAAGCUAACACUGCCAGAAAGUAAAGCAAGCAUCAUGAUUCAUAAAUCGCUCAUUAUCUUUCUAAUAGCUAUGGGGAAGGAGUAUCUUAGCCAUGUCAGUUCAAUUUCCUGUUUGUUCUUAUAUUUCAUUAGCAGGUGUGCGUAUGUGAUUCUAUUGUGCGGGUUGUGUAUUUUGAAUGCUUUGAAGAGUGAAUCAUGGUUUAUUGUCUUAUUGAAGUAGUUUACUAAUGGUGAUAUUUUAAUUUGACGACGGUUGUAUUUAUAGCCACUGCUGCUGUAAAUAUUCUAUACGUUGACAAUUUUGUUGAUUUUCUUAAUUUAUAUUUUACUUUUUUUUUUUAUAUUAUGUAAAUGUCAAUGAUUUUUUUCCAUGAUUAUUAUAGACUUUUUAGUGCUCCAAUGUGGUGUUUACUAUUUAACUCCAAAUUGUUGCACUCAUUUUUGUAGCCAAUGGCAUUUUUGACUUUUUAUCAGUCCACUAACAGUCAAGUUAACUGUGUACUAACGUCAGGGGAGGUUCUUAUAAUUACAUGAAUACUUUCUAUGAGACUUUUAAUACACCGAACCUCAGGGGAGGUCCCGAAAAAUUACCCCUUGAAAAUUUCAAGUUUACUUGAAUUUUUUUAUCAUUAAUGUGUACUUUUAUGAUUUUAUCCUCACCAACUUAAUUUAUACGAAGUGGUAAACUAAAAGGUAUUUGAGAAUACGCGAAUACAAUCUAUCAAACUAAAAACAUGCUAAAUCUCAGUGGAGGUUUGUGAUAAUUAACCAAUGGAAAAAACAUGUAAAUAAGAAACCCAACUUACGAAAAUGCUAGAUUGGGCAGGCUUUAUUGUGAGAAAUGUACCUAAAAUAAUAUUUCUGUAUGUGUACCCAGAAAAUAUAUAAAGGAACGACCUAUAUAAUAUUUUUGUUGAAAUGUUAUACCCUAUGAUUACAGAAUGCUUGAGUUCUAAAGAAGAUUCAAGUCAUUCCUCAGGUGCAGCAUUCGAAAUAAGGCCAUUGCCCUUGUGAAAUUUGCAUUACUUCUAUUGAAAAUCUACAUAAUGAGAGCUCUCCCGUUACAUUUUUCGUUGUUUUGCUUGUGCUUUACUUCAAUGUGUCGCCACAUGAACAAGUAUAUUGCAACAUAUGUACCAUCAAUUUUGCUAUGUCAUAUUCCCUAAUAUUAUAUAAUACAGAUGAUUUUGAAAUUAUAAUAACAACAAUGGGGUCAAGCACAUUUUGUGUCUUGAAGAUUUGCGAGAGCUCCAUCCUACAAAGUUAAUAUAUUAUUAUUAUUAUUGAUGAUGAUGACAUUGUUGUUAUUAUUAUUAUUUGAGAGAUGGUAGAAUAAAGUUGUUCAUUUUGAAGUUUAACAGUGGAAAAUAAGAAAAACAAGAAAAAGUUUUUUUUUGUUAUUUUAGGUUUCUAAAAAUAUUUUUGCUCCGUUUGUUCUGUUUUCUUUGCUGGGAUUUGAGAUAAAAAAAAAUUAUCUCAAAUAAUAUAAUAUUCAUCAAUUGGUUGGAGAGAUAAUAUAAUUAAUUCACUUAGAUCUUGAAAGAAUUACCAAGCACUCAAUUAAUAACACAUUAUCUAGGAUUAAAUUUGAGAGAAAAAAUUUGGAAUGUCUAUCUUUACUCUAAUUUAAUUGAAAAUAAGCCUAUCAUUGGAUGAUCAAUUAUAGUUUGCUUAAUACUAAAAUGUCACCCGUAAGUUUGUUCUCGAUUUGUAAUUGAUUUAUCUUAAUUCAUCAACUCGACAAAGGUUCGUUCAUCUUGUUCUUGUACACUUAAAAGUCAUGAAGAUCAAAACCAAAUCUGUAGUUACAUUUUCUUGAAAAAUAAUUUUAGGCAAUAGGUUCUCGUGUUUAAGCGAUAUUUUUAAAGGGUUAUGAUAGUAGUGGAGCACUAAUGCACUUCAUAACUAUCAGAUGGAUUGUUGAAAAAAAUAAAAAAUGUUCGUAUAUUUUUUUAAUAUUUUGUAUAAUGGCUAAAAGAUCAGAUAGUUUACAGAUAAUUUUUUAUCCUUUUUUUUAUUUUCAUCAUGUUUGAAAGACAUCCUCUUUGGAAGUCAAGGUAAAAAUAACAAUUUUAUCCUUACAACGUCAAGAAAAUUCUAACAAAAUUUAGAUGACAGUGAACAAUUGAAACACUUUGUAAAUUUCAGGUGGAUUUCUGCAAAGAAAAAAGUGUUUGUAUAUUUUUUAAAACGUCCAAAAGAUCACAUGAUCGGUGGAUAAUUGCCUAUUUAUUAUUAACAAUAAAAAUUUUUCAAUAUUAAUUGUUGUUGUUGUUAUUAUUAUUAUUAUUAUAUGACAAAUGUUAUAAUAAAUAAUAAUUAUCAUAAUACAAAAUCAAAGGCAUAUUAGUAAUUUGUAACAACUCAUCGCAAUUUUAAGAUAAAACAAAUACAUCAAUAACAAUAUAAUUUAUUAUGAUUCUAAUUUCUCAAUUUAAAUAAAUUAAUUAAUCUAAUCGUCAUUCCAUAUUUUAAUUCCAAGUCAUACCAUUCCAAUCCAUUCAUAUUUUAACCUAUUUCGAUUAUUAAUUGAUAAAGGGACGGUCAGUAUAUCAACUACCCAGAGUAACGCCUGAAAGACACUGAGGCAAGGGCCGCAGGCUGACAUUUAGCGUUGAUGUCCAGUUUCUUUAGCAUUUUGAAUUCAUAAACGAAAUUACAGUGGUUCUUCAUCCAUUGGCCAUUCCGCUUGUUAAUUAUAAUAGACCUGACAACAAUUUAUACGAAUUCUGCCAAUUGUUCACGCGCAACUAUUUUAAUCGAAAAUAUAAUAUGGCUCCAUAAACAAUGAUUAUCUCUCGACAGUUGUUCUGCACUCCCUAAUUUAAUUGAAAAAGACUUGAUGAUUAUUUAAUUGGAAAUAUUUUUUUUUUGGGCUCUGCUUGGUUUAGUAAUUUGUCUUUUAUAUUUGACUGACUCGACAAAGAGUUGAUUAUCUCGUUUUGACAAACUUAAAUUACAGAGAUGGAAACCAGAUCUGUCAUACAUUAAAAUAAUCAAACCACUUUCUCUUUUUCACCUAUUUUCACGGAGAAAAAAUGCUAAAGAAACUGGAAGAAUGCUAAAUUCAUUUAGGUAGACUUAGUGAAGGAAAAUUCAAAGGUGGAAAGUGUACAGAGAGAGGAAGCGCGUGUUUAGAGAGAGAGGUCUCAAAUAUAUAAGUUGGAUUUCUCAUAAAAGGUAGUAAGGUUUCUAUAAUUCUAUUUCUAUUUAUGCUGAAUUUCAUGGGGACGAAGUUAAUUUAGAGAUUUGUAUACUUUAUUUAUCGUUAAGUUUUCCAAAAAAGGGGUAAAGUUGCGCCUAAGCUAAUUUUUAUAAUUGGUUGAUUAUUUCAGAAGCACAAGGGUAUCAACAAGGAAUUGUAGAGCCGGAUACGUGUAGCUUUCAUUGUUUUCCUGGUUCAGUAUGUAUAUAGUUAUAUGUAUGUGUUAUGCUUAGUUUAUGUUUAGGUAGAUUAUGGUUGGUGAUGAUAUUGUUAAUAAUAUGGAUGAUUUGUUAUAUAUGAAAAUUAAGUUAUUGAGGGUGAAACAUGAAACCAAAUCCGAUCUGUCAUUGCAUCUGCUUGAAAAAUAAUUUUACUAACAAUAGAUCCUCCUGUUUUGACAACUUUCAAUGUGGUUUAGUUACAUGUAUUUAGAACAUAAAUAAUUGUUAUGACUUUAGAAAAUUUUGUUGUUUGUAAUUUAUAUUUGAAAUUUUGUUAACAAUUGUUUGGCAGGAAUAUUUUUAUUUAAGAAAAAGAGUGAUCUCAUUAAUGAGCUGGUUUAGAUAACACAGAUGAAAAUAAUAAAUUGAUUCAUAAUUAAGUCAAUUACUUAAUUAAAAUGUACCUCAAUAUUUUUUUGGUAAUGUUGUAUCUUUUACAAUAAUUUCUGGUAGUUAUGUUGUGGAAAUAAUCACUGUAAAGAUAAUCAGUUAAACAUUUAGGAAAAUUUACUUCUAAAAGUGCUAUUAAUGUAAAUGACUGAAUUGAACAUAAUGCUAAACAAAAUUUAUUUAUACAUUUAUAAACAUGUAUAUAACAUAUUUUUUUUAUCUUGUAUAUAUAAUAAUUGAUAACAGAAAUAACUAUUUUAUAUUAUUAAUUUUAUUUUUAUUUUGUUAUCUCAAUGUAAUUGUUAAAAUAUCUUUAAAAUUAAUAAUUUUAUUUCCUAAAUAAUAAGGAUAAUUUUUUAUUUUUAUAAUAUAUAUAAGGUUGUAUAUAGAAUUAUAUUAAGUAUAAAACUGGUUAUCAAAAUUAGAUUUUGACAAACUAUUCCUUUUUUACUUUCCGAAAUUUGUUGUGGGAUAAGUGAUUUUACCAAAGGCGAUUUUUAAAAAUUUUACCAAAUACCAAAAUUAACAUUUAACUUUAAAAAAUAAAUUUUGAGCCUUUAAAAAUAAUCUCAAACAGACCUAUAAUAUAUGUUUGAUUUUUUUUUUAAUUUUAUAUUUUAUGACAUAAAAAUAUAAUUUUUAUCAUUGAAAAACUAAUGACAGAGAUCUUUUGAAUAAUUUAAAAAAAGAAACUCAGAGCUCAAGAUAGUGCUGUAAUUGGUUGAAGAAGAAGGCUAAAACUUGAUGACAAAUUUAUUAUACUAGUUUUAAGGUUUUAUAUUACUCUGCCCAAUCUCAAUACAUUAUUAGCUCAUGUAUGAGUGAAAGUUGCUGGUUCUUAUUUUAGUAAUUUCUCUUUCUAUUUGCUUGACUCGACAAAGAGUUGGUUCACCUCGUACUCAUACACUUAAAUUACAAACAUGGAAACUAGAUCUGUCGUUUCGUUAAUUGGCCUCAUAAAUUAAUCAAUCACACCUUCUUAUUAAUUUACCAUUACUCUUUUCAUUCCCUUAUUUUUAUCUAACCAUUUAGGAUAGGAUUUAAAUUCAGUACCUAAUUAUUUUUUUAAUAGUUUUAAAAAACUAUAAUUAAUAGUUAUUGAAUAAAAAUAUAAAAUUAAUUAUAUUAUUUGUCAUACGCGUGUGACAAUAGGUUAAGAAAAAUUUAUUUACGUUUGCUCACUCCACAGUCUUAUUAGCUCCCCCACUCUCUUAAUCAUUUCUUAUUCUGUACUUAAUUACAUUAUGUGACAUCUUUGUCACUUCUUUACAUUCAUUCUUAAUCUAAAUAGAAACCCUUUUCUUGCUUCCUUCUUCUCAUUCGAAAAACACUUUGCUUCUGUUUGUUUGUUAGUUAUUUUUAGCUCCAUAACUGCUUGUCGUAUCGUUGUCUCUCUGUUCUUACUGUCCUUUGGCCUUCUUCAUUUCUACAUUGUUGUCAGGAUUCAAGAUGCUGGAAAUCAUUGUUACUCUCGUUUUGGAACUUGUAAAAUGCUUGGCUCCUCCAACAGAACGCAAACUUGUUUAUUUGCGCAAGCGGAACUACAAUGCCAACCUUGAGAAUCUCAAGACGGAAAUGGAGAAGUUGAAGGUUGAACGUACGAGCAUUCAGCGCAGAGUUUCAGAGGCGAAAGAAAAAGGGGAAGAGAUUGAAGAGAAGGUUGAGAAGUGGCUGGUUACUGCGAACAGCAUCGUUGACCGGGCAGCCAAAUUCAUUGAAGAUGAAGAGUCAACAAAUAAGCGCUGUCUCAAGGGCUUGUGUCCUAAUUUGAAGACCCGCUAUCAGCUUAGCAAGAAAGCAGAGACAGAGGUGAAGGCCCUUGUUGAACUUGGAGAAGAAGUUAAGAAGUUUGAUAUCGUUUCCCACCGUACCACUCCGGAGGAGAUAUGGCUUAAGUCGAACAAAGGUUACGAGGCCUUCGAAUCAAGAGUUUCUACUUUGAAGUCUAUACAAAAUGCGUUGACUGAUGUGAAUGUCAGCAUUAUUGGGGUGUACGGCAUGGGCGGCAUUGGAAAGACGACACUGGUGAAGGAGUUUGCUAGGCAAGCCAGGGAAGACAAGCUGUUUGAUCGGGUGGUUUUUUCAGAGGUUUCACAAACUCCAGACAUAAAAAAGAUUCAAGGGGAAAUUGCAGAGAAGUUAGGUCUGGAGUUGUCCGAUGAAGCUGAAUAUAGAAGAGCUAGCAGGCUGUAUGAACGACUGAAGAAUGAGAAUAAGAUUCUUGUGAUUCUAGAUAAUAUCUGGAAACAUGUUGAUUUGGAGACGGUUGGAAUUCCCUUCGGAAAUGAUCAUAAAGGAUGUAGACUACUGCUGACAGCAAGAGACAAUAAUGUGCUAUUAAGUAUGGGCUCCAAAGAUAACUUCUUGAUUGGCAAUCUAAAUGAAGAAGAAGCUUGGAGAUUGUUUAAGAUAAUGAAUAGUGAUGAUCUUGAAAAUUGUAAGUUCAAGUCUACAGCAAUUAAUGUAGCCCAGGCAUGUGGAGGUUUGCCCAUUGCCUUGACUACAGUAGCGAGGGCACUGAGAAACAAGAGUCUGCAUGAGUGGAAGAAUGCCUUGCGAGAACUCCAAACGCCUUCAGUGGUAAACUUCGAAGGUGUGCCUGCAGAGACUUAUUCAAGUAUUGAACUGAGUUUCAAGUAUUUAAAAGGUGAGCAACUCAAGAAAAUUUUUCUGCUCUGCAGUCUAAUAGGUAACAGUUUUUGGUUUACAGACUUGUUUAAAUACUCCAUGGGUUUGGGCAUAUUUCAAGGAGUCAACAGGAUGGUAGAUGCACGAAACAAAUUAUAUGCAUUGGUCCAUGAACUUAGAGACUCUUGUUUAUUGCUUGAGGGUGAUAGCAGUGAACAAUUUUCCAUGCAUGAUGUUGUCUACGAUGUUGUCGUAUCAAUUGCAUGUCGAGACCAACAUGUUUUCUUGGUGAGAAAUGAGGUUGUGUGGGAGUGGCCUGAUGAGGAUGCACUUAAAAAAUGCUCUGCAAUCUCUUUAUUAAAUAGUAGCAUUCAUGAAGUUUCUGAGGAAUUUGAAUGUCUGCAACUUGAAUUUUUACAUAUUUCCCAAAACACUUUUGUUGAGGUCAAUAUUCCUGACAACAUUUUCAAAGGGAUGAAAAAGCUUCGAGUUAUAGAUUUGACACGAAUGCGAUUAUUUUCAUUGCCAUCUUCAAUCGGUCUUCUAGCAAAUCUUCAAACACUCUGUCUAGAUCAAAGCAUGUUGGGAGACAUAGCCAUAAUUGGAAAGUUGAAGAAUCUAGAAAUCCUUAGCUUUUUAAAUUCUGAUAUUGUACGGUUGCCUGGCGAACUAGGUCAACUGACUAAGUUAAGGCUGUUAGAUUUAACAGAUUGUUUGCAACUAAAAUUUAUUGUGCCCAACGUCUUAUCAAGCUUCACUCGAUUGGAAGAACUGUAUAUGGGUAAUUCCCCUGUUGAAUGGGAAGUUGAAAAGGCCAAUAGUGAAAGAAGUAAUGCCACCCUCGACGAAUUGAUGCAUUUGAGGCGAUUGACCACUUUAGAAAUAGAUGUUAAAAAUGAUAGCAUUUUACCGGAUGGGUUUUUUUCCAAAAAGCUGGAAAGGUUUGAUAUAUCAAUAGGAGAUGCAUCAUUCGACUCUACCCUGGUUAUUGAGAAUGAUUGGUUUGAAAGUCGGCAGCACUUUAUGAUCAGUAAUCAUGAGAGUUUAAGAACAUUGAAGCUCAAGCUUGAUUCUAUGGCCAUUUGCUCCGAGAAGUUGCAGCUCAUCAAUAACGUUGAAUACUUAUGUUUGGAUAAGUUGCAAGGAAUCAAGAAUGUUGUUUUAGAAUUGGACACUGAGGGCUUUUCACAAUUGAAGCAUCUCCUUGUUCAAAAUAAUCCAGACUUCCUGUGUAUCGUCGAUUCAAUGGAGAGAGAACCAUGUGUCGCCUUUCCUCUUUUGGAGUCCCUUACUCUUCACAAUUUGAUCAAUACGGAGAGGAUAUGUAUUGAUCGACUCAAAAUAGAGUCCUUCAAUGAACUCAAAACCAUAAAAGUAGAAAAUUGUGAUGAGUUGAGUAAUAUCUUCUGGCUCUCUAGUAGUACAAAAUGCCUUCCAAGACUGGAGAGGAUUGCAGUUAUCAAUUGCAGCAGCAUGGAAGAGAUUUUUGCAACUGGAGGAGAAGCUGAUGUUGAUGUUGAUGAGAAGAUAGAGUUUGGUCAAUUAAGAUCUUUGAGUCUGGGAAAGCUUCCAAAGGUUACAAGGUUUUGCGGUGAAGUGAAGACUCCUUCCACAUCACCAAACAGACAAGAGUCGCAAGAGGAAUUGACAGCCAGUUCCAACGAGAUCAGUUCGGAAACGUCAACUCUGCUUUUCAACGAGAAGGUACGUAGGCUAAUGCUUCUUUUUUUUUCUUUAGUUCUAUCAUGCACUCUAAUUUGCAAAAAAAAAAAAAAAGUCUCAUACACUCGCUAAUUAAGCUCUUAAUUAAGUGCUUCUUAUAUGGAUAUUGUGUCAAAACAAGUGCUUUCCAUACGGAUAUUGGAUCUAAAGAGAAAAUUAUCUUUAGGUAGUGUUGCCAAAUUUGGAGGCUUUGGAGCUGAAUGCUAUUAAUGUCGACGAGAUUUGGAAUGACAAUCAACUUGCGGCCAUGAUUACUUGCUUUCAAAGUUUGACACGAUUGAUAGUGUGGGGCUGUGACAAAUUAAAAUACAUAUUUUCAGCUUCUAUGAUCCAAAGCCUUAAGCACCUCCAACACCUGGAGAUACGGAUAUGUAUGGGUUUACAAGAGAUCAUCUCCAAAGACACAGCAGAUCAAGUGACCCCAUAUUUUGUCUUUCCACAAGUGACCACUCUGAAUCUCGAAGGUCUACCAGAACUCAGAUGUUUAUACCCUGGAAUGCAUACUUCAGAAUGGCCAGCACUAAAACAUUUGGAGGCCUGUAAUUGUGAUAAAAUAACGUUGUCCCAGAAUAACGAGAAUGAUCAAUUUGGUAUUCCGGCACAACAACCCCUGCUCUCGUUCAAGAAGGUAUGAAACCAAAUUUUAGAUUUUUUUUAUCAAUUAUCUUUGUUGUUCCUCACUCACAGGUUUAAUAAAUACCUAUAUGGAGUUUUUUUCAAGUGGGAAUGCCCUUAUUUUUUACUUUUUUCAUGCGGAGAAGCUUUCAAAUCCCACAGUUUAAGAGCGUGUGUAUAUAUAUAUAUAUAAUCAUUCUCAGGUGUGGGGGGUUCGUAUUUUUUUUAAUGUGGACACGCUUUUAAACCGUACGGUUUAAGAGAGUUAGUUUUUUAAUGAAUUAUGAAGCCAUGCAGUUUUAGAGAGUUAAAAAUUAACUUUUUUAAACCAUGGGGUCUAAAAAUUGGUCCACAAGAAAAAAAAAUGAGGAUGUCCGCAUUAGAGAAGGAAUAUAUAUAUAUAUAUAUAUAUAUAUAUUAGUUAGAUCAUUGAAAACUUUGAUUACACAAUGAAUUUUGCCAGUCUUGAAUUAUGGAUCAAUGUGCUAAGUUAAUAAUUUGAGCUCGAUGAUGAUCAGAUCUUACCCAACUUGGAGGAACUGGCAUUAAGUGGAAAAGACAUCACGAUGAUUUUGCAAGGCGAUUUCCCACAACACCUCUUUGGCAGUCUUAAACUACUACAGGUUGGGGAUGAUGACUUAGCUUGCUUUCAACUUGGUUUACUUGAGAGGUUUAACAAUCUGAAACUUCUCUUCCUGUCGGAUUGUUCGUAUGAAGUGGUAUUUUCAAAUGAAGGAUAUUUGGAGAAACAUGGGAGGAAGUUGGCACUGAUAAAAAAGUUAAACCUGACCAGACUUAAUCGUCUGCAGCAACUGUGGAAACGUGACUCCAAACAGCUGGACUUCAUUUUUCAACAUCUUGAAAUUCUAAGAGCAUAUCACUGUCAAAAUCUGUUAAGUCUAUUGCCAUCAUCAUCGGUAUCUUUUCGGAAUCUCGCACAUCUGCAAGCUUUUGCUUGCAAGAAAUUGAUGAACUUAGGAACAUGCUCCACAGCAAAAAGUCUGGAGCGACUCUUAUCAUUGAAGGUAUUUGGAUGCACAGCAAUGACAGAAGUCGUAGUAUGUGACGAAGAUGAAACAGCAAAUAUAAAAGAAGAGAUUGUUUUCAGCAAAUUGAUUACAUUGUCCCUGUUUGAUUUAGAUAGUCUCACAAGCUUCUCCUCUGCCAAUUACACCUUCAAAUUCCCAUGUUUGCAAGAUUUGUCGGUGAUUGGUUGUCCCAAGAUGAAGAUUUUCACCAAAGGAGAAUCAACCACGCCUCCGAGAGUAAACGUCUGGUACGGAAGGAGUGAGGACAAACUGCGUUGGUCUAAUAAUGACCUUAACACAAUCAUACAACAAUUACAUCAAGAAAAGGUACGGGUAACUGUUAGAAUAUUUGUUAUUAAUGAGUGAAUUUUUAAUCACGUUUAUAUAUGAGAAUCUUAUUAAAUUCCUCGAAAAUUCAUUAAUCAUUAGUUUUAAUUUCAUAAUAUGAAUUUUAAUUUAAAUUCAUAAAUGCGAAUUUUAUUUUCAGCUGUUGGAGGGUUCGUCUCCUUACUCGUCGCAGUACUGAUCUCAUACGCCUUCAGUACUUGGCGAGCUGUCAAUUUGAAGAAUAAGGUAUUUUAUUUUUAGAAAAGGAAUUUUAUUCUCCUUGAAAAUAUCAUUCAAAGUGACAACAUUUUCAUGUGGAAAGCCUUCAGAUCUUUUUUUUUUUUCCCCUGUUUUAAUCGAGGGGUCUGUCAAAUUUAGUUUUUAAAUGAGAAUAAUUUUUAUGGGCCAUUUCACAUUGAGAAAUUAGUUUUUUCCUAAAGUGAUCACAGUAAGAACAUAAAAAAUAAUGAUCCAAUACAUUACCACAAAAUUAAUCUCGGUUAGUCAGGUUAUAUGAAAAUUUUUCAAAAUAAAUAUGAAGAAGAUUGAGGUCACUCCUCUGUGUUUGCAGCAUCAGAAAUAAGAGCUACUUUUCUGUGAAACUCGUGCUCCGUCCUUUGAAGUUAAGCUUACAUUCUGAGGGUAUUCACUCUACUGUAUCACUACAUGCAGCUUUGAAAGUGUUACAUUAACCCGCCGCUAUUAAGUUCAAAAACGAUGUAUCAAUUUACCAUUGGUCUGCACUGCUUCUUGUAAUAUGUGAAAUAAAUUUCCAGUUUAUUUUGACAUUUUGAAUAUAAAUUCUUCUGAAUUUUCAGCCAAAGGUUUGGUAGUUGUUCUGAUUUAUCUUCAGUUUCAUUUUGUGAUCACAGAAACGUUAGGAUUUGCAUGCAUGAAAGCACAUUAAAUCAUAGAAAUUUUGUCAGACAUCCAUGCAAAUGAAAUUUUAUCAGCAAUCUUAUAAUUUUCUGUUAUUGUUGUCGUUGUCAUUAUUCUAUUGCUGGUACUGUUUGAAAUUUCUAGUAUUUUAGAUGUGAAAUUUAUUAUAUUAGGUAUUCAAGGUAUAUAUAUGAUGCUGAAUACAGGGCUUCUGUUGUCUAAAUUUGUUUUAUUUUGUUUGCUUCACAUCUAAUUUUCAAAAACUAUUGAAGAAUGCUGAGAGAAUGAACAAUUGGUCUAAAGAAUCAAAUGCAAUAUUGCUAUUAGUUUGUUGAUUGCCAUCAUUGCUGUUCUGUUAUUUUAAUUUUUGCCCUGUUUGUUCUGUUUCCCUGUUUGCUUCACAUCUAUCUUCCCUAACUUAGAAGGCAAGGAAUUUGUACUCGAAAACGAAUAGCAGUUGCACAAAAUGUGGCAACCACACCAAAUAAUCAAUUUGUUGAGAAAUUUUGAAAGCUUUACUUGAUAAAAAUUUGAAAGUUUUGAAAAGGAUUCAGGUCGCUCUUUUGUGCGGCCUCUGGAAUAAGAGCUGUGUCGCUGUUGAAAAGUUUACAUGCUGACUUGCUGAGGGGCUUCCAUCAUCACCGUUUCACUACAAGGUUAAGGCAGCUUCAAGUUGUUGGGUUUGGUGAACCAAGUUGUGUACAGGAUUCGCUUAUGAGGGCCUACGUGAUUGCAGACGAGCCUAAGCUUUUGUCUCUCCCUCUUCCAUCUCAACACACACAAUCUUCAUGUGGCUUUUGUUAGGAAAUUAGUGGGUGAAGUAGGACCGCAGCUAAAAUGAAAUUGUAAGAAAAUAAAGAACAAGCACAAUAGAGAUAUCAGAAAUUACGUGGUUCAGCUUUUAGCCUACGUCCACGGGCGAAAACAGAAGGAAAUAUUUUACUAGUGAAAAGGAGUUACAAGUAUUGUAGUAUUUUACCUCACUACCCAAAACCCCAAUACACCCAAACUCUCAAAUCACUAAGCACACGAAAUUCUUUGCUCUUGCAAGAAUCAUUUCUCAUAACUCUCAACUCUCUCUACAAAAUUGGAUGCUGAAAACCAAAUGAAGAGCUCUCUUUUUAUAGCCAAAAUUGGCUAUUAAAAUAAUAAUUAAUUUUUUUUCUUGUCAAAAUCGUUCCCCCUUUUCUUCUUCAAACUUCUUCUUUUUCCAUUUUCUUCAUUCCAAAUUUACUGCUGCCAAAUUCUUCUGCUUCUUCUUUGAACAAAAUUGUGCUGACAAUCUAGAUGGCUGCUUUAUACCAUCUAGAUGGCCACCUUAUUUGACAUUUCUCCCACUUGGAGAUUUAAAUGAGAAUUAAUUAAUUUCCACACCAUCCUUUCUGCUUCGCCAUAAUCAUGUUGUCUACGUUUCUGCUAGGCCACAAGAGGAUCUACUCCAGACAAAUUUAUCAGUAUUUAUCGGCUUGGUCAAAAUAUCUGCUAGGUUCUCCUUCGUAUGGAUUUUCUGUAAAUCUACACUUCCAUCUUCCACUACUUCUCGAACGAAAUGAUACUGAACUCCUAUGUGCUUUGUCCUGGAAUGAAAGGUUGGAUUCCUUGCAAUGUGCAAGGCACUCUGACUGUCACAAAACACAGGAAUUUUCUGUUGUUUGUGCCCGAGCUCCUUCAAUAACCUUUGUAUCCAAAUAGCUUCCUUGCAAGCUUGUGUAGCUGCCAUGUAUUCUGCUUCUGUUGUAGAUAAAGCCACAACAGUCUGCAGUUUCGAAACCCAGCUUACAGCUGCUCCCGCAAGUGUAAACACAUAACCAGUAGUAGAUUUUCUUUUAUCAAGGUCUCCUGCAAAAUCUGAAUCCACAUAGUUGCUGACAGUAAACUCUGAUCCUCCAUAACAUAAUACAACAUCUGAGGUUCCUCUGAUGUAUCUCAGAAUCCUCUUUACAGCUAUCCAAUGCUCUCCACCAGGAUUUGCCAUGUAUCGACUGAUUACUCCCACUGCUUGUGCAAUGUCCGGUCUAGUACAUAUCAUAGCGAACAUCAAACUUCCCACUGCUGAUGCAUACGGUACUCGAGACAUCUCCCUCCUCUCUGCUUCAUUGGUAGGACACAUACUUGAGGAUAAUUUGAAAUUAACAGGAAGUGAGGUAGAAAUUGACUUAUAAUCUUGCAUGUUGAAGCGCCGCAAGAUUUUCUUCAAGUAAUUCUUCUGCGAAAGCCAAAUCUUCCUGCUAUUUCUGUCUCGGUAAAUUUGCAUCCCUAGAAGCUUGUUUGCUGGUCCCAAGUCCUUCAUUUCAAACUCUCUAGCCAACUGUGCCUUUAAUUCUUGGACUCGAUCUUUGUUGGGACCUGCUACCAACAUGUCAUCCACAUACAACAGCAAAAUAAUGAAAUCAUUAUCUUCAAACCUCUUGUAAUAUGCACAAUGGUCUAAACUGAGUCUGUUGUAUCCAAGGCUCAUGAUGAAGGAAUCAAAUCUCUUAUACCAACACCUCGGCACCUGUUUGAGACCGCAUAGAGAUUUGUUCAACCUGCAAACCAAGUUCUCCUUUCCUGUUUCUGCAAAACCUUCUGGUUGGAGCAUAUAUAUUUUUUCUUUAAGUUCUCCAUGAAGAAAUGCAGUUUUCACAUCUAACUGCUCUAUAUGUAAGUCAAAUGUAGCACACAUCGCCAAAACUACUCUGACUGUUGUGAGUCGAACCAGCGGAGAAAAUAUCUCGUUGAAGUCAAUACCUUCUUUCUGAGCAUAUCCUUUCACCACCAAUCUUGCACGACACCGCUCCACUUGGUCAUUGCCAUCACGUUUGAUCUUGUAGACCCAUUUGUUACCAACGGCUUUUCUUCCACGUGGUAGUGGUACAAGUUUCCAUGUCUUGUUCUUGUGUAGAGCUUCAAUUUUUUCCUGCAUUGCCGUCAUCCACAAAGCAACAUCUGAGUUGUUUAAAGUUUCAUGGAAAGUUGAAGGCUCUCCAUCCUCUGUUAGAAGACAGUAUGCAACGUUGAUCUCUGUGACAUAGUAUGCAACAUUGAUCUCUGUGACAUACUCCGAGUGCCACGUUGGUGGUCGUCUCUCACGAGUUGACCGACGAACUUCUGGAGCCUCAGACUCGACUGGUUCUUAUUCCUCGUGCUCUGGUGCUGCUUCAGAAGAAUCUGAAUCUUCUAGAUUAUUUUUCACAUAUACUGGCACAGUCUCUGACUUUUCUUUUACAGUGCCAUCACCUCCAUCUUUCAUUUGCAGUUGAUCUUCUACAAAAAUAACAUCUCUGCUGAUGACGAUUUUGUGGGCAGUGGGGUCCCACAAACGAUACCCCUUUACUCCAUCAGCAUAUCCCAAGAAGAUACAUCUUCUAGAUUUUGCAUCUAGUUUUGUUCUUUCUUGGACAUUGUACAUUACGUACACAAGACAUCCAAAUGCAUGUAGGUAGGAAUAAUCAGCUGGCUUUCCAGUCCACAUCUCCAUCACUGUCUUCAGCCCAAUAGCUGUAGAUGGCGAUCGAUUUACUAUAUAACAAGCAAUUUUGGCUGCUUCUGCCCAGAAUGAAUUGGGUAGACCAGCAAUCCUCAACAUAGCUCUUAUUCUUUCUGUAAGAGUUCUGUUCAUCCGCUCUGCCACUCCAUUUUGUUGAGGAGUGUAUGCCACCGUGAACUGCCUCUGGAUACCUUCUUACUUACAGAAAGCAAGAAACUCGCCGUCUGUAUACUCUCCACCAUUAUCCGUCCUCAAGCACUUGAUUUUUUACCAAAUUCAAGUUCCACCCGCGCUUUGUAUUCUUUAAACACUGGAAAUACAUCUGACUUUUUCUUAAUUGGAUACACCCAACAUCUUCUGGAAUAAUCAUCAAUGAAAGUCACCAUGUACUUUGCAUCUCCCAUGGAUAUAUCCGGUGAUUCCCAAACAUUAGAAUGAAUCAAGUCUAGAAUGCAUUUACUUCUAGCAAUAGAUCUACUGAAUUUUAAUCUAUGCUGCUUACUUGUAACAUAAUGCUCGCAAAAUGGUAAACUUACCGAUUUGAGCCCCGGAAGCAAUUUUCGCUCAGAGAGAAUCUUCAAGCCUUAUUCUGACACGUGACCAAGUUUGAGAUGCCACAUCAUCGUUGACUCUUCUCCAUUUGAUGUGACACACGCAUCAGCCUCCUGUAGUGUUUCUCCUUUAAACAUGAAUAGAUUAGCACCGAUCUUUUCUGCCUUCAUCAAUACAAGCGCUCCUUUAACGAUCUUCAUAAUUCCAUUCUCCACAUGAGUUUUAUACCCAUGACUAUCCAUUUGUCCCAAAGACAAAAGAUUUUUCUUCAGGCCGUUGACAUGUCGUACCUCCCCAAUUGUGCGAAUUGUACCAUCAAACAUUUUUAUUUUGAUAGUACCAAUACCAGCGAUCUCCAAGGCAUGAUCAUUACCUAUAUAUACAGAUCCUCCUGAGAUAGGUUCAUAUGUGUGGAACCACUCUCUCUGAGAGGUCAUGUGCCAGGUAGCUCCUGAGUCUAUAAGCCAGACAUCAGAAAGUCAUUUUCUGCCUUCUGAAACAGUUGUUGCUUCGCUGUAGAGAAUUUCGACAUCAUCUGAGGUACUUGCUACACACCCCUGAGCAUUUGAUGACUCAGGUUCUUUACCCUCUCUUCUCUUCUGGUUACUCCAACACUCCUUUUUGACGUACCCUUUCUUACCACAGUUGUAGCAUUUAACAUUCUUCUUACUUAUGGAUUUUGAUCUACCAUGAUUUUGACUCCCACUGGGGCCACGUUCCGUUGAUCUCCUUCUCGUCACCGAUAGCGCCUCCGCUUGCUGCGAACUUGCUUGUCUGUUUUCCUUAUUUUUUCGCCUGCUCUCCUCAUUUAAUAUGGAGGCUGCAAUAUCGUCGAAAACUAGACUGUCCACUAGAUUGUUCUUCGUCAGGUUGAUGAUGAGCUGAUCAUACGAAUCUGGUAGACUUUGAAGUAGAAGCUCUGCACGUUCAUUCUUCUCUAUAUUAUGACCCAACGUUGUGAGUUGUAAAAAUAGAGUCUUCAAGGUGUUGAUGUGGUUGGUUACCAUUGUAGAUUCCGCCAUUCGAAGAGUAUAGAGUUUCCUCUUCAAGAAGAUUUUGUUGUGUAGUGACUUGGCCUCGUACAAUUUUGUAAGAGUAUUCCAUAUUUCCUUCGCUGUAUUUUUCUCUGCCACACUGGAUAAUACUCCAUCUACAAGUGCCAAGUGUAGAUCUGAAAUGGCGGUGCCAUCUAUCUCGUUCCACUUGUCAUCAGUUAUCUCCAUGGGCCUUUCUCCAAUUCCUGCCAAGCAAUUAUUUUUCCUCAAUACAGCUUUCAUCUUAAUUUUCCACAACGAAAAGUUAUUUCCGUUAAAUUUCUCAAUUUCAUACUUUGUCGCCAUUUUGUUGAUAAAUAUUGUACACAAACUAGUGUAUCACCUUGAAUAGUUGUGAGUAUGUGUGAACAUGCACACUAAGAAAGUUCCUAGGAAAAACUGGAGGGGUCACAAUGAUCCCACUUAAAACCCAGACUCCUUAAGCUGUUAUCACCUUUGUGACGGAACUUUCCUAGACAUGUACAAAACCACACAGUUGUUUUACUCACACCACUAUUCCCUGCUUAACACCGUAAAAUUCUUGGAUCGCUCCCACCGUUUUACAUGAAUAGUACCGGAUACGUGAACAGUACCGUAUACGUGAACAGCAUCGUACACGUGAAUAGUACCGUAUAUGUGAAUAGUACCCUUACGUGAAUAGUACCCGACUCCAAAAAUACAACCAAUAGCUCUGAUACCACUGUUAGGAAAUUGGUGGGUGAAGCAGGACCGCAGCUAAAAUGAAAUUGUAAGAAAAUAAAGAACAAGCACAAUAGAGGACACCAGAAAUUACGUGGUUCAGCUUUUAGCCUACGUCCAUAGGCAAAAACAAAAAGAAAUAUUUUACUAGUGAAAAGGAGUUACAAGUAUUGUAGUAUUGUAGCUCACUACCCAAAAUCUCAAUACACCCAAACUCUCAAAUCACUAAGUACACAAAAUUCUUUGCUCUUGCAAGAAUCACUUCUCACAACUCUCAACUCUCUCUACAAAAUUAGAUGCUGAAAACUAAAUGAAGAGCUCCCUUUAUAUAGCCAAAAUUGGCUAUUAAAAUAAUAAUUAAUUUUUUUUCUUGUCAAAAUCGUUCCCCUUUUUCUUCUUCAAACUUCUUCUUUUUCCAUUUUCUUCAUUCCAAAUUUACUGCUGCCAAAUUCUUCUUCGUCUUCUUUGAACAAAAUUGUGCUGACCAUCUAGAUGGCUGCUUUAUACCAUCUAGAUGGACACCUUAUUUGACAGCUUUUGCCCGUCAAUCCGCUUGCUCCAGCUUGCUGAAUUUGUAAAACAACUACUAGAAUUAUGAUCAGUGAUCACUGUCAGAUUGAUUGGAUUAAUUAUAAUUACAGAUCAAACGGUUGAAAUUCAAUUUAACAGAUACACACGCCUUGACGCGUUCCCAAGUUUCGGCAACGGUGAGAGGACAGUGUUCCUUGACUAUGGCAAACAUAACCCUCGUAAUUCAUCUUUGGUUUUGGCUUCGUUGACAAAAAUCUCACAAACAAUCUGCCUUCAAGCAACAACACAACUCCCACUAAAUGUAUUUUUUACACUCUCAAACGCACCGUUUUUAUUUUUGUUAUAAAUUUGACGCUGCCAUUUUUUUUUUUUGACGGGCAUGGCUUUUCCUUUUAAGCCUUUCCUUUUAUCUUUUAUAGCCAUCUUCCAUAUUAUUAGGAGGAGUCGUUUUCACUUUUUUUAAGAAAUUUUGAUCACAUUAAACUUUUGAUCUGAAUUCAUAACAAAAAUUAAAACAGUGCAUGAUGAGAUCAUGGUGAAUACGGUAGUUCAUAAAAAAUGUUGUUCUUCUUCCAAGUAAUCUUAUCAUUUCUCUCAUUUUAUUCGUUUUCCUCUUUUGAAGUCUUCAAUCUUAUACUCAGUAAGUAUAUUAAACUGCUUUUUCACUUCAGUUCCAGACAAUCGAGAGGGUGCUUUGCCCUACUCUCUAGUUUUAUCAAAAGACACUAUAUUUUCGAAACCUAUGAUUUGUUGGUAAAAAUCGACGGUGAUCCAUGUGACAAAAUUUUCUACUAUGUAUUAGAUCUAGUGUUUUGCUGGCAAACAAGACAUGCUUAAUUGCUUAUUUACCUUUAAUACUCCACCCAGACAAGUUGGCAAUGCUAGAAAGUUGACUGAUAGUCCAUAACAAUGUUGCGUGUAACUUGAACAUUUGAUUACGUGAUGCAGUGUAUCAUUCCAACCAUAUCAUCAUCAGCCACUUCCCUUAUAACGAAAUAUAGAUUACAACACUUCUUAAAAGGACAAUAAAUUCUUGUGCCACCAACAACAUUCUCAAAUGUAAAAUCUAUAAAUUUUUCAACCCCAUCAGUAGGGGUGGGCAUGGGUUGGUUUGGGUUGGAUUUUAAGUCAACCCAAACCAAACCAUAAAAAUUAAGAUCCAAUCCAAACCAACCCAAAUAUUUUUAACCCAACCCAAACCAAAUCAUUUGGGUUUGGUUUGGGUUUGGUUUGAAUUUUAUUAUCAAAAUAAUUUUUAUUUUAAUAAAAUUUAAUUAUAUCAAAAUUAUAAUAAUUAUUAAUUGUUAUUAAUUAUUAAAUUGAUAUUAAAAUAUAAAAAAAUAUAGUGGAUAAAAAUUAUAAAUUUUACAAUAACUUAAUCCUUAAAUUAAAGAAUACUAGAAAAUUAAAAUAAAGUUUAACACACAAAAAUUAUUAUUUCUCAAUAAAUAAGAACAUACACUUUAAUAAUAAACUUUCACAAACAUGACAUUAACAAUCUAAUAAUAAAUUUUACCACUUAUUAUUUAUUUAAUUAUGCAAUAUUUGAUUUUAUUUAUCGUUUUGGUAGUUUUGCGUUAUGUUGUCUACUUAUAUGCUUAAAUUUAGGGAGAUUGUCAUUUUCCCCCUACAGUAAUCAACAUAUAUCAUUUUUCCCCCUUAUGUUUUUAUAAUGGCCAAAAACCCCUCUAAUAGCAUAAGUUUACAAUAUUACCCUUAUUUUCAACUACUCUUUUAUUUAUAUUUAUUAUAAAUUAAAUAAAUCACAUGAAUAGAAACUAAAUAAAAAAUAAAGCAUUAAAAAUAAGAAAUAUAUGUUUUGAUAUGAACAAAAAAAUUAAUAAUAAAAUUUUUUUAUACUUAAUCACAUGAAUAGAAACUAAAUAAAAAAUAAAGCAUUAAAAAUAAGAAAUAUAUAUUUUGAUAUGAACAAAAAAAUUAAUAAUAAAAUUUUUUUAUACUUAUUUAUUUUGUGAAAAUUUUCUUAUAAUAAAUAUAUAAGAAAAAUAUUAGUAAAAUGAUAAAAAAAAUUAUUAUAAGAAAACUUGAAUGACAAAUAAAAAUUUAUUAUAAGAUAAAUAAUAAAAUAUUUUACCUAUUUGUGUUCAUUUAUUUUGUUUUCAUUUAUUUCAUUUGAAAAAUUUGAGUGUUGGGGUUUUAUUCAUAACACAUGGGUAAACCAUACCCAACCCAUAAUGAAAUGGUUUUCUAUAUAAAACCCACAUCUAACCCAUUUUCAUAAUUUACCUAACCCAAACCAUUUAAUUUGGUUUGGGUUUGGGUAAACCCAUGGGUUGUGGGUUUAUGCCCACCCCUACCCAUCAGUAUAUGACUUGGAUUUCUAUUUGGCAAACCAACCCAACACUUGUCCAUGACUGUCUCCUUUUAAUGCGCUACAAAUAUUAGUUAAAUAAAUCAUUUUAGUUCUUGAUUUCUACCAGGGGUGGGCAUUUUACCCGACCCGAUCCGAAAAAUUUCAGGUUCGGGUCGGAUCGGGUUGUUACUAAAACCCGAUCGGGUGAAAAAGUUAACCCGAUCGGGUCACCCGAACCAGAAUACCCAAUCGGGUCACCUAAAAAAAAAAACAGAUUACACACACCACAACCACUCACUCACAGUCACACGCACAGAAUCACAACUGUGAAUUCAUAGUCUAAGUCUCAACUCUCACACACAAAGUCACAAGAUUCACAACUCACACACUCACAAGUCACGGACUCACGGCCUCACACACAGUCACACACACAGGCCAACCGCCACACCACAACCACUCCACUCUCCAGUCUCCACGGAACAUAGAGCACACAUAGCAGCCACUCACGCACACAGGCCAUAGCCAAUCAGCCACGUCGCGAUCUGCUGCCUAGUGCCCACUGCCGCGAUCUGCUGCCCACAUCCUGCUGCUGCGAUCUGCCCACUUCUUGCUGCAGUGAUCUGCUGCCUCGAUCUGCCCACUUCCUACAGCCGUGAUCUGUUGCCUUGAUCUGCUGCCGCCUGCCGUGUUCCACCGUCGGCCGAUCUGCUGCUCCAAGCCUCCAAGCCCAAGGCCGAAGCUUCCAAGUUCCAACCGGACCAACCCGACUCGAGUUUCUCCCACUCUCACCCGAACCGAUUUGAAGCUUUGACUUUCAAGUUUCAAUUUCAAUCUUUCAUGGUAUAUUAUAUAGUUAUAUAUGCUUCUUAGUUAUUGCUUAAUUGGUUAUUUAUUAUGUAAUUGAUUAUUGUUUAAUUGUUGUAAAUUUGUAAUUAUGUAUUUUUAAAUGUUAGUAAUAAAAUCAAAAAAAUUGAUGUUUUUAUGAUUUUGUUAUGAAUAAAUUUUUAUUAAUUG
rnacentral:lncRNA from 1 species